ncrna:23S ribosomal RNA from Staphylococcus aureus (PDB 7ASP, chain Y)
GAUUAAGUUAUUAAGGGCGCACGGUGGAUGCCUUGGCACUAGAAGCCAAUGAAGGACGUUACUAACGACGAUAUGCUUUGGGGAGCUGUAAGUAAGCUUUGAUCCAGAGAUUUCCGAAUGGGGAAACCCAGCAUGAGUUAUGUCAUGUUAUCGAUAUGUGAAUACAUAGCAUAUCAGAAGGCACACCCGGAGAACUGAAACAUCUUAGUACCCGGAGGAAGAGAAAGAAAAUUCGAUUCCCUUAGUAGCGGCGAGCGAAACGGGAAGAGCCCAAACCAACAAGCUUGCUUGUUGGGGUUGUAGGACACUCUAUACGGAGUUACAAAGGACGACAUUAGACGAAUCAUCUGGAAAGAUGAAUCAAAGAAGGUAAUAAUCCUGUAGUCGAAAAUGUUGUCUCUCUUGAGUGGAUCCUGAGUACGACGGAGCACGUGAAAUUCCGUCGGAAUCUGGGAGGACCAUCUCCUAAGGCUAAAUACUCUCUAGUGACCGAUAGUGAACCAGUACCGUGAGGGAAAGGUGAAAAGCACCCCGGAAGGGGAGUGAAAUAGAACCUGAAACCGUGUGCUUACAAGUAGUCAGAGCCCGUUAAUGGGUGAUGGCGUGCCUUUUGUAGAAUGAACCGGCGAGUUACGAUUUGAUGCAAGGUUAAGCAGUAAAUGUGGAGCCGUAGCGAAAGCGAGUCUGAAUAGGGCGUUUAGUAUUUGGUCGUAGACCCGAAACCAGGUGAUCUACCCUUGGUCAGGUUGAAGUUCAGGUAACACUGAAUGGAGGACCGAACCGACUUACGUUGAAAAGUGAGCGGAUGAACUGAGGGUAGCGGAGAAAUUCCAAUCGAACCUGGAGAUAGCUGGUUCUCUCCGAAAUAGCUUUAGGGCUAGCCUCAAGUGAUGAUUAUUGGAGGUAGAGCACUGUUUGGACGAGGGGCCCCUCUCGGGUUACCGAAUUCAGACAAACUCCGAAUGCCAAUUAAUUUAACUUGGGAGUCAGAACAUGGGUGAUAAGGUCCGUGUUCGAAAGGGAAACAGCCCAGACCACCAGCUAAGGUCCCAAAAUAUAUGUUAAGUGGAAAAGGAUGUGGCGUUGCCCAGACAACUAGGAUGUUGGCUUAGAAGCAGCCAUCAUUUAAAGAGUGCGUAAUAGCUCACUAGUCGAGUGACACUGCGCCGAAAAUGUACCGGGGCUAAACAUAUUACCGAAGCUGUGGAUUGUCCUUUGGACAAUGGUAGGAGAGCGUUCUAAGGGCGUUGAAGCAUGAUCGUAAGGACAUGUGGAGCGCUUAGAAGUGAGAAUGCCGGUGUGAGUAGCGAAAGACGGGUGAGAAUCCCGUCCACCGAUUGACUAAGGUUUCCAGAGGAAGGCUCGUCCGCUCUGGGUUAGUCGGGUCCUAAGCUGAGGCCGACAGGCGUAGGCGAUGGAUAACAGGUUGAUAUUCCUGUACCACCUAUAAUCGUUUUAAUCGAUGGGGGGACGCAGUAGGAUAGGCGAAGCGUGCGAUUGGAUUGCACGUCUAAGCAGUAAGGCUGAGUAUUAGGCAAAUCCGGUACUCGUUAAGGCUGAGCUGUGAUGGGGAGAAGACAUUGAGUCUUCGAGUCGUUGAUUUCACACUGCCGAGAAAAGCCUCUAGAUAGAAAAUAGGUGCCCGUACCGCAAACCGACACAGGUAGUCAAGAUGAGAAUUCUAAGGUGAGCGAGCGAACUCUCGUUAAGGAACUCGGCAAAAUGACCCCGUAACUUCGGGAGAAGGGGUGCUCUUUAGGGUUAACGCCCAGAAGAGCCGCAGUGAAUAGGCCCAAGCGACUGUUUAUCAAAAACACAGGUCUCUGCUAAACCGUAAGGUGAUGUAUAGGGGCUGACGCCUGCCCGGUGCUGGAAGGUUAAGAGGAGUGGUUAGCUUCUGCGAAGCUACGAAUCGAAGCCCCAGUAAACGGCGGCCGUAACUAUAACGGUCCUAAGGUAGCGAAAUUCCUUGUCGGGUAAGUUCCGACCCGCACGAAAGGCGUAACGAUUUGGGCACUGUCUCAACGAGAGACUCGGUGAAAUCAUAGUACCUGUGAAGAUGCAGGUUACCCGCGACAGGACGGAAAGACCCCGUGGAGCUUUACUGUAGCCUGAUAUUGAAAUUCGGCACAGCUUGUACAGGAUAGGUAGGAGCCUUUGAAACGUGAGCGCUAGCUUACGUGGAGGCGCUGGUGGGAUACUACCCUAGCUGUGUUGGCUUUCUAACCCGCACCACUUAUCGUGGUGGGAGACAGUGUCAAGCGGGCAGUUUGACUGGGGCGGUCGCCUCCUAAAAGGUAACGGAGGCGCUCAAAGGUUCCCUCAGAAUGGUUGGAAAUCAUUCAUAGAGUGUAAAGGCAUAAGGGAGCUUGACUGCGAGACCUACAAGUCGAGCAGGGUCGAAAGACGGACUUAGUGAUCCGGUGGUUCCGCAUGGAAGGGCCAUCGCUCAACGGAUAAAAGCUACCCCGGGGAUAACAGGCUUAUCUCCCCCAAGAGUUCACAUCGACGGGGAGGUUUGGCACCUCGAUGUCGGCUCAUCGCAUCCUGGGGCUGUAGUCGGUCCCAAGGGUUGGGCUGUUCGCCCAUUAAAGCGGUACGCGAGCUGGGUUCAGAACGUCGUGAGACAGUUCGGUCCCUAUCCGUCGUGGGCGUAGGAAAUUUGAGAGGAGCUGUCCUUAGUACGAGAGGACCGGGAUGGACAUACCUCUGGUGUACCAGUUGUCGUGCCAACGGCAUAGCUGGGUAGCUAUGUGUGGACGGGAUAAGUGCUGAAAGCAUCUAAGCAUGAAGCCCCCCUCAAGAUGAGAUUUCCCAACUUCGGUUAUAAGAUCCCUCAAAGAUGAUGAGGUUAAUAGGUUCGAGGUGGAAGCAUGGUGACAUGUGGAGCUGACGAAUACUAAUCGAUCGAAGACUUAAUCAA